AACAUAAAUCACAUUACCCUAUCUGACUUUUACUCAAUCUGACUUCUAUAAAAGUCAGAUUGAAAAAAAGCUACUUCUGCCACCGCUAUCCCAAACACACCCAUACUCUACAAGAA